rnacentral:rRNA from 1 species
GACGAACGCUGGCGGCGCGCUUAACACAUGCAAGUCGAACGGAAAGGCCUGCUUUCCCUUGUGGAUUGCGGGUACUCGAGUGGCGAACGGGUGAGUAACACGUGAGUGAUCUGCCCCCAACUUGGGUAUAAGCCUGGGAAACUGGGUCUAAUUCCCGAUAGGACUGCAGGGUGGUGCCUGUGGUGGAAAACGAUUUUCUAGUGGUUGGGGAUGAGCUCGCGGCCUAUCAGCUUGUUGGUGGGGUAAUGGCCUACCAAGGCGGCGACGGGUAGCCGGCCUGAGAGGGUGGACGGCCACAUUGGGACUGAGAUACGGCCCAGACUCCUACGGGAGGCAGCAGUGGGGAAGAUUGCACAAUGGGCGGAAGCCUGAUGCAGCGACGCCGCGUGGGGGAUGACGGCAUUCGGGUUGUAAACUCCUUUCGACCGCGAGGAAGCCACCUGGUUGGAAGGGUGGUGACGGUAGUGGUAGAAGAAGCACCGGCUAACUACGUG